AAAUAAAAAUCGGGGUUGUUGCUGCCUUUCGUGGUGACGCUUCGGAAUUGGGUUGUCUUUACCUUCGGUUAAAGUGACCUAAAAUUUUAUAUGAUUUUUCGAACGUAUUUAAAUUAUUUUACGUACGUUUGCAUUGUCGAAUAUUAGGUGUGGUCAUUUUCAUGAUACGCGUCUAUAAUUUUUCAUC
rnacentral:misc_RNA from 1 species